rnacentral:lncRNA from 1 species
AGAGAAAGAGACUGGGGUAGAAAAUGCACAACUGUAUUUGAAACCCUCAGCCAAUCUAAAUAGGUUGUUAGCACUUUUGCAUGUGUUAGCUGCUGCUCUGGCUUUACUAUUCAUUUUCAAAAAUCAGAGCUAAACUGAAACCCAGAAAAGUUUUUAAGGUUUCUGAGAAAGAUUUAAGUGUGCUUACCAAGAAUGUCAUAUAACUUUUGAGCAAUGUGUGAAAGAUUUUAAAGAAGGGAUUUUAGUUCUAAAAUUACUCCAAGGAUAAUAAGCUUUUCUUUAUCCAUAAAACACAAGCAUUGGUCUCAAACAUUAAAAAAAAACCAAAACACAGGUAUCCAAUAACAAGUAAAAUAUCAAAGUACUUAAAAGAGAAAGUAAUCUUAUAAUCUGCAUAUUGUUA